GAGCAGCAAGUCCCAGAGCUAAGUGCUUUCAGCAGCACCACCUGCUGCUGCCCCCCCAGAAACCAGCCAUAGAUCCUAUAAGCUCUGCUCCCCCAUAACCAGACACGAGGAGCACAUGGCAAAAAAUCUCCUGGAGGGCAGGAAGUAGUGCCAAAGAAGAAACAAGGGGAUGCUUCAGCGAGGCGCCUUCCCAAGCCCCUCAUGCUUCAGAGAGUGUUUGUCAUACACAGAACUGCUAUCAAGAGCCUUGGAGCCGCCUUCCCUUUCUGUAGAGGCAGUGAAUGGGAUCAAACCCAGGGUCCUGCAGCAUUCACAGUGCUACUUUCGUCAUCAGAGGAGCAGAGAAUCUUUUGAUAGAUGUUAACCUAAGAGUUUUUCAUCAACCCUAUUCAGUAGGCAAGUCAAGAAACGGCAAGGGCACUCAAAAUCAGCCAAAUAAAAGGCAAGACAACCCCCCAUACAGAUACUUUCUUGCUAAAACUAUUAAUAAACAUUGCACAUUGCGUCAA